CCCUUAGAUGUCCUGGGCCGCACGCGCGUUACACUGAUGCAUUCAACGAGCUUAUAACCUUGGCCGAGAGGCCUGGGCAAUCUUGUUAACGUGCAUCGUGAUAGGGAUAGAUUAUUGAAAUUAUUAAUCUUGAACGAGGAAUUCCUAGUAAACGCAGAUCAUCAAUCUGCAUUGAUUACGUCCCUGCCCUUUGUACACACCGCCCGUCGCACCUACCGAUUGGAUGGUCCGGUGAAGCCUCGGGAUUGUGGUUCUUGCCGAUUUAUUGUGGCGUGACCGCGAGAACUUGUCUAAACCUUAUCAUCUAGAGGAAGGUGAAGUCGUAACA
rnacentral:rRNA from 1 species